rnacentral:rRNA from 2 species
GCAGAGAUGCUUUGGUGCCUUCGGGAACUGUGAGACAGGUGCUGCAUGGCUGUCGUCAGCUCGUGUUGUGAAAUGUUGGGUUAAGUCCCGCAACGAGCGCAACCCUUAUCCUUUGUUGCCAGCGGUCCGGCCGGGAACUCAAAGGAGACUGCCAGUGAUAAACUGGAGGAAGGUGGGGAUGACGUCAAGUCAUCAUGGCCCUUACGACCAGGGCUACACACGUGCUACAAUGGCAUAUACAAAGAGAAGCGACCUCGCGAGAGCAAGCGGACCUCAUAAAGUAUGUCGUAGUCCGGAUUGGAGUCUGCAACUCGACUCCAUGAAGUCGGAAUCGCUAGUAAUCGUAGAUCAGAAUGCUACGGUGAAUACGUUCCCGGGCCUUGUACACACCGCCCGUCACACCAUGGGAGUGGGUUGCAAAAGAAGUAGGUAGCUUAACCUUCGGGAGGGCGCUUACCACUUUGUGAUUCAUGACUGGGGUGAAGUCGUAACAAGGUAACCGUAGGGGAACCUGCGGUUGGAUCACCUCCUU